CGGUAUAGUAGGUGCGAGCUUGUCCGGAUUAUUGGGCGUAAAGGCUCGUAGGUGGUUGAUCGCGUCGGAAGUGAAUCUGGGGCUUAACCCUGAGCGUGCUUUCGAUACGGGUUGACUUGAGGAAGGUAGGGGAGAAUGGAAUUCCUGGUGGAGCGGUGGAAUGCGCAGAUAUCAGGAGGAACACCAGUGGCGAAGGCGGUUCUCUGGGCCUUUCCUGACGCUGAGGAGCGAAAGCGUGGGGAGCGAACAGGCUUAGAUACCCUGGUAGUCCACGCUGUAAACGGUGGGUACUAGGUGUGGGGUCCAUUCCACGGGUUCCGUGCCGUAGCUAACGCUUUAAGUACCCCGCCUGGGGAGUACGGCCGCAAGGCUAAAACUCAAAGGAAUUGACGGGGCCCCGCACAAGCGGCGGAGCAUGCGGAUUAAUUCGAUGCAACGCGUAGAACCUUACCUGGGUUUGACAUGGAUCGGGAGUGCUCAGAGAUGGGUGUGCCUCUUUUGGGGUCGGUUCACAGGUGGUGCAUGGCUGUCGUCAGCUCGUGUCGUGAGAUGUUGGGUUAAGUCCCGCAACGAGCGCAACCCUUGUUCACUGUUGCCAGCACGUUAUGGUGGGGACUCAGUGGAGACCGCCGGGGUCAACUCGGAGGAAGGUGGGGAUGACGUCAAGUCAUCAUGCCCCUUAUGUCCAGGGCUUCACGCAUGCUACAAUGGCUGGUACAGAGAGUGGCGAGCCUGUGAGGGUGAGCGAAUCUCGGAAAGCCGGUCUCAGUUCGGAUUGGGGUCUGCAA
rnacentral:rRNA from 1 species